UACAAAGGGGGCGAGCGUUGUUCGGAAUUACUGGGCGUAAAGCGCACGUAGGCGGACGUGUAAGUCAGGUGUGAAAUCCCCGGGCUCAACCUGGGAACUGCAUUUGAUACUGCAAGUCUGGAGUGCGGAAGAGGUGAGUGGAAUUCCUGGUGUAGAGGUGAAAUUCGUAGAUAUUGGGAGGAACACCAGUGGCGAAGGCGGCUCACUGGUCCGGUUCUGACGCUGAGGCGCGAAAGCGUGGGGAGCAAACAGG
rnacentral:rRNA from 1 species